rnacentral:rRNA from 1 species
UACGUAGGUGGCAAGCGUUGUUCGGAAUUACUGGGCGUAAAGCGCGCGUAGGCGGACCUGCAAGUCGGGGGUGAAAGCCCGAGGCUCAACCUCGGAACUGCCUUCGAUACUGCGGUCUCGAGUCCGGGAGAGGUGAGUGGAAUUCCUAGUGUAGAGGUGAAAUUGUAGAUAUUAGGAAGAACACCAGUGGCGAAGGCGGCUACACGUGGU